UGUACACACCGCCCGUCGCUACUACCGAUUGAAUGGCUCAGUGAGGCCUUCGGACUGGCUUGGGGAGGUUGGCAACGACCACCCUAAGCCGGAAAGUUCGUCAAACUCGGUCAUUUAGAGGAAGUAAAAGUCGUAACAAGGUUUCCGUAGGUGAACCUGCGGAAGGAUCAUUA
rnacentral:rRNA from 1 species